rnacentral:rRNA from 1 species
UAUCAGUCAUGCAUAGCAUAUCAAUAAGCGGAGGAAAAGAAACUAACAAGGAUUCCCUUAGUAACGGCGAGUGAAGCGGGAAGAGCUCAAAUUUGAAAUCUUCAAGGUUCUACCUUGACGAAUUGUAGUUUAUAGAAGUGUUUUCUGUUAGUAGAGUGGCAAAAGUUCUUUGGAAUAGGACAUCAUAGAGGGUGAGAAUCCCGUAUUUGGUCAUUCCUUCUAGCGUUGUGAUACACUUUCAACGAGUCGGAUUGUUUGGGAAUGCAGUCCAAAAUGGGUGGUAAAUUUCAUCUAAAGCUAAAUAUUGGCGAGAGACCGAUAGCGAACAAGUACCGUGAGGGAAAGAUGAAAAGAACUUUGAAAAGAGAGUUAAACAGUACGUGAAAUUGUCAAAAGGGAAGCGUUUGACACCAGUGUUGUUUUUCCGAAAAUCAAUUACGAAUGUUUUGUUUUUGAGGAGUUAUGACUUCAUCGGCUUGCUCCUUUCUUUACGAAACUUUCUUAAUGCACUUUUCGGUUAACAAGUCAACAUCAAUUUCUUUUGUUGUAAAAGGGUAUGAGGAAGGUGGCUUUCUUUUCGGAGAAAGUGUUUAUAGCCUUGUGCCUCUGCAAUCGGAGAGAUUGAGGUCUGCAGCGUAGAUCCUUCGGGGUUAGAUACGUUUGUGCUAAGUUAUAGCCUUUUCAUAGACAACUUGUUGACUAUGAUUAGUCAUUGUAGCUUACUCGCUGACGCUAUUUUACCUACGCUUAGGAUGUUGAUCUCUCACAGUCGAGC